UGGGGAAUCUUGCGCAAUGCGCGAAAGCGUGACGCAGCAACGCCGCGUGGGGGAAGACGGCCUUAGGGUUGUAAACCCCUUUCAGGAGGGACGAAGGUUCACCGGUGAAUAGCCGUGUGGAUUGACGGUACCUCCACAAGAAGCACCGGCUAACUACGUGCCAGCAGCCGCGGUAAUACGUAGGGUGCAAGCGUUGUCCGGAAUCAUUGGGCGUAAAGCGCGCGUAGGUGGUCAUGUAAGUCCGCUGUGAAAGUCAAAGGCUCAACCUUUGAAAGCCGGUGGAUACUGCAUGACUAGAGUACGGAAGAGGCGAGUGGAAUUCCUGGUGUAGCGGUGGAAUGCGCAGAUAUCAGGAGGAACACCAAUAGCGAAGGCAGCUCGCUGGGACGUUACUGACACUGAGGCGCGAAAGCGUGGGGAGCGAACAGGAUUAGAUACCCCCGUAGUCC
rnacentral:rRNA from 1 species